rnacentral:rRNA from 1 species
CCUAUAGGGAUCUUCCGCAUGGACGAAAGUCUGACGGAGCAACGCCGCGUGAGUGAUGAAGGUUUUCGGAUCGUAAAGCUCUGUUGUUAGGGAAGAACAAGUGCCGUUCAAAUAGGGCGGCACCUUGACGGUACCUAACCAGAAAGCCACGGCUAACUACGUGCCAGCAGCCGCGGUAAUACGUAGGUGGCAAGCGUUGUCCGGAAUUAUUGGGCGUAAAGGGCUCGCAGGCGGUUUCUUAAGUCUGAUGUGAAACCCCCGGCUCAACCGGGGAGGGUCAUUGAAACUGGAAUUUGAAAUUAUAUAAA